UACAGAGGUCUCAAGCGUUGUUCGGAUUCAUUGGGCGUAAAGGGUGCGUAAGCGGCGCGGUAAGUCGGGUGUGAAAUCUCGGAGCUUAACUCCGAAACUGCAUUCGAUACUGCCGUGCUUGAGGACUGGAGAGGAGACUGGAAUUUACGGUGUAGCGGUGAAAUGCGUAGAUAUCGUAAGGAAGACCAGUGGCGAAGGCGGGUCUCUGGACAGUUCCUGACGCUGAGGCACGAAGGCCAGGGGAGCAAACGGG
rnacentral:rRNA from 1 species